UACGUAGGGUGCGAGCGUUAAUCGGAAUUACUGGGCGUAAAGCGUGCGCAGGCGGUGACCCAAGUCAGAUGUGAAAUCCCCGGGCUCAACCUGGGAAUUGCAUCUGUGACUGCAUAGCUAGAGUACGGUAGAGGGGGAUGGAAUUCCGCGUGUAGCAGUGAAAUGCGUAGAGAUGUGGAGGAAUACCGAUGGCGAAGGCAGCCCCCUGGGUCAAUACUGACGCUCAUGCACGAAAGCGUGGGGAGC
rnacentral:rRNA from 1 species